rnacentral:rRNA from 1 species
UACGGGGGGAGCAAGCGUUGUUCGGAUUUACUGGGCGUAAAGGGCGCGUAGGCGGUCAGCACAAGUCAGUUGUGAAAUCUCCGGGCUUAACUCGGAAAGGUCAACUGAUACUGUGCGACUAGAGUGCAGAAGGGGCAACUGGAAUUCUCGGUGUAGCGGUGAAAUGCGUAGAUAUCAGGAGGAACACCGGUGGCGAAAGCGCUCAUCUGGCCCGACUACUGACGCUGAGGCACGAAAGCGUGGGGAGCAAACAGG